rnacentral:rRNA from 1 species
AUUGAACGCUGGCGGCAGGCUUAACACAUGCAAGUCGAGCGGAGCGAGGGUGCUUGCACCUUAGCUUAGCGGCGGACGGGUGAGUAAUGCCUAGGAAUCUGCCUAUUAGUGGGGGACAACAUUCCGAAAGGAAUGCUAAUACCGCAUACGCCCUACGGGGGAAAGCAGGGGAUCUUCGGACCUUGCGCUAAUAGAUGAGCCUAAGUCGGAUUAGCUAGUUGGUGGGGUAAAGGCCUACCAAGGCGACGAUCUGUAGCGGGUCUGAGAGGAUGAUCCGCCACACUGGGACUGAGACACGGCCCAGACUCCUACGGGAGGUAGCAGUGGGGAAUAUUGGACAAUGGGCGGAAGCCUGAUCCAGCCAUGCCGCGUGUGUGAAGAAGGCCUUUUGGUUGUAAAGCACUUUAAGCGAGGAGGAGGCUACUUAGAUUAAUACUCUGGGAUAGUGGACGUUACUCGCAGAAUAAGCACCGGCUAACUCUGUGCCAGCCGCCGCAGUAAGAC